AGAGAGGACAAGCUCUUCAACUCUGGACAUAUCUUUUGUUUCUAGGCACUUCCCUGGGUGUAAGGCCCCAGUGUUACACAGAAUUGCUGCUGUGAGGAAGGACUGCAUCCUGAACAAACCAGGAAACGACAGAAUAAGAUACGUAAGAUUUUCCCUUAAGAAAAUGGAAUAUCAUUGAGGAUAACUGUCUUUUUUUCCAGUCUGCCAGAAGUUCUUUUGUGAUACUGAGUAACUCACUUAAACCCCAACCUGUCCAUACACCAUUACUUUUCUUCUAACAAAAUCUUGUCUCAUCUGCUGCUACAUCCUCUUCUUCAGGAGAACAGGCCAACCACUUGGGAGUUUUGAAUUAUGUAUUCCCUAAGCAUUUAGUUUAACAUAAAGGCAAACAUUCAACUCACAGCUAAAAUCAACAAUCCUUCUUCUGUCCAGGCUCCUCAUUCAGUCUAAAGUUUUUCUCUCUCUUCAUUGGUACCAUUAAGUCUACCAGGUCAGACCAUACCCUGCGAGAAGCUGAGUUUUCUCUAGACAGGAACCCUGCUUUAUGUUACUGUUCUGAGUGUAGUCACUUGACUCAAUCACCAUCUCCAUCUCCUUUCCCCAUCCCCUUUCGUCAUCUAGGGAAAAAAAUGUGUUUGGCACAGCUGGGACUAAGCCCAAGCCCUUUCACAGCAGAAGCUGAGGGCUUUUGCAGCUUUGUUUUCCCUUUACUCCAUUUCCAGGCAAUCGGUGAGGACACUUGGGGCCCUAUUUGUGUGGUUGCCAUAGACCAAAAUGAAGCUGACUGAAACAGUGUAAAAUGGCACAACAAAUAGCACCAAACUUUAUUUGGAGCUUGUCACCAUUGUUCCUUUACCAGCCAAAUGAGAUGCUGUUGAGUGACACAGUGGACUCCACAGCCGCUACUGGGAAGUAAACACGCUGCCUCUACAUCUUCAAAGCAGGAGAACAUUCUCUUGUUAAAUAGAUUUUGCUGCCUGAUCCAUACAAGAUUUUGCAUGCCCAGCUAUCAAGGGUCCUGCUAUCAAAAGCUACACUUCAGUGACAAAGCCCUGAGGAAGGCAGCUGAGUAAGCUGUGUAUGCUGGCAUGACAUCCUCUUGGUCUCCAGUGGAAUCCAGGAGACUGAUAGAAGGCAACAAAUGACCCCUUUGCAUUGGUACAGUAGGAGCAUGACUGUAAUCAAACAUAAUUAUGGAAUCACUACCAGUCAGAGCUGUUAUAGUCUUGCCUGUAAUCAAGAACAGCAUUAUUGCAUCAUUUAUUAGUCUCACAAGUAAUUUGAGAUUUAUGGGCCCUUGGAAAGAAAAGUGUUACUUGGCAAAUCUACACAUAUUUGUUAUUUGCCCAUAAAGAGAUUUCAGAACUCUUUGAGAGAUCAGAGCAGUUCAAAUGAAGUAUGUCUUCUGGAUAAUUUCUUCAGAUUCUUCAGAGUCUUAAAUGCCAAAAAAUCCACACAUUACUUGAAGAAAUUAUUUCUGAGCUUACCAUGUGCAAACUUGGACUGGCUAGCCAGGUAGAUGUAGGCACACAUAAUUUCUCUGAUGCUGGAGAUACAGUGUAGUGACUACUGGUGGAGAUAGAACUACUACAUUAAAAUAAACAGCUGAAAUUAGUGUAAUCAUGCAGAAACUGUACUCUUUGAUGUAAUAGUUCAGUUAUUAUAAUCCCAGGAGGAAAACUCUCAAGGGGAAGACCUUCUUCUGUAGUGCCAAGUUAUGACUUUGGCUUUUCCAGCAGACAGUUUAUCUCUGUUACAUGAGAGGGAACCUUAAACAGAAAAUGUAUUUGGAAAAAGGACGAUAGGUGAGGUAACUCAUCAUAAGAAGUACAGAGAAAGGGAGGAAGAAGGGCAUUUGAUCCUGGAAGGGCAGAAGAAGCUGUAUCUCUUAAUUUUGUAAAGAAGUUUAAAAAGCAUUAUUUGUGACUUCUUAGCUCACAAGGAAAUGGAAGACAGCUCUGAAUUCUGAAGUGGAUGUGGGUGGGAAAGAAAUGGAAGAAGAAAAAACUUGUUGCCUUUAAAAUGUUACUUCAAAAGGUUUGGAAACCAAUUAAUAUAAAACCACCUCAAAGUUCCCCAAGGAAGUUG